rnacentral:rRNA from 1 species
AAUAGAUACCCGGUAGUCCACGCCGUAAACGAUGAGUGCUAAGUGUUAGAGGGUUUCCGCCCUUUAGUGCUGCAGCUAACGCAUUAAGCACUCCGCCUGGGGAGUACGGCCGCAAGGCUGAAACUCAAAGGAAUUGACGGGGGCCCGCACAAGCGGUGGAGCAUGUGGUUUAAUUCGAAGCAACGCGAAGAACCUUACCAGGUCUUGACAUCCUCUGCCAACCCUAGAGAUAGGGCGUUCCCCUUCGGGGGACAGAGUGACAGGUGGUGCAUGGUUGUCGUCAGCUCGUGUCGUGAGAUGUUGGGUUAAGUCCCGCAACGAGCGCAACCCUUGAUCUUAGUUGCCAGCAUUCAGUUGGGCACUCUAAGGUGACUGCCGGUGACAAACCGGAGGAAGGUGGGGAUGACGGUCAAAUCAUCAUGCCCCUUAUGACCUGGGCUACACACGUGCUACAAUGGAUGGUACAAAGAGCUGCGAACCCGCGAGGGUAAGCGAAUCUCAUAAAGCCAUUCUCAGUUCGGA